GACGAACGCUGGCGGCGUGCUUAACACAUGCAAGUCGAACGGGCUCUGUCUGGCUGUGUGCUGGGUGGGGUUAGUGGCGAACGGGUGAGUAAUACGUGAGUAACCUGCCAUCUUCUUUGGGAUAAGUCUUGGAAACGGGGUCCAAUACUGGAUAUUACUGUCUGGUCGCAUGGCUGGGUGGGGAAAGUUUUUUUCGGUGGGGGAUGGGCUCGCGGCCUAUGAGCUUGUUGGUGGGGUAAUGGCCUAUCAAGGAGACGACGGGUGGCCGACGGGAGAGGGAGUCGGGCGACAGUGAGGCUGAGAAGCGACCCAGAGUCCGACGGGAGGCAGCAGUGGGGGAUGGUGGACGCAGUGCGGAAGCCUGCGGCAGCGGCGCCGCGUGGAGGAUGACGGGUUUCGGGUAGUAAGCCUCUUUCGUCGUGGGACAAGGCUCUGCUUGGUGGUGGGGUUGAGGGUACCCGGUGAAGAAGCGCCGGCUAACUACGUG
rnacentral:rRNA from 1 species